GUAGGAGGCGGAACUCGAAUUCAUUUCUCCCGCUGCCCCAUCUCUUAGCUCGCGGUUGUUUCAUUCCGCAGUUUCUUCCCAUGCACCUGCCGCGUACCGGCCACUUUGUGCCGUACUUACGUCAUCUUUUUCCUAAAUCGAGGUGGCAUUUACACACAGCGCCAGUGCACACAGCAAGUGCACAGGAAGAUGAGUUUUGGCCCCUAACCGCUCCGUGAUGCCUACCAAGUCACAGACCCUUUUCAUCGUCCCAGAAACGUUUCAUCACGUCUCUUCCCAGUCGAUUCCCGACC
rnacentral:lncRNA from 1 species